rnacentral:rRNA from 1 species
UUAAUACUGGAUAGAUCAAAGAUACUGGAAUGUUCUCUGGUCUAAAACUUAAGGUGCCCAAGGAUGGGUCUGCGGCCUAUCAGGUAGUAGUGGGUGUAACGUACCUACUAGCCAGCGACGGGUAAGGGUUGUGAGAGCAAGAGCCCUGAGAUGGAUUCUGAGACAUGAAUCCAGGCCCUACGGGGUGCAGCAGGCGCGAAAACUUUACACUGCGGGAAACCGCGAUAAGGGGACCCCGAGUGCCAGUACCUAGUACUGGCUGUCCAGCUGUCCAAAUAACAGUUGUUAGCAAGGGCCGGGCAAGACCGGUGCCAGCCGCCGCGGUAACACCGGCGGCCCGAGUGGUAGCCGUUAUUAUUGGGUUUAAAGGGUCCGUAGCCGGCCUAUUAAGUCUCUUGGGAAAUCUGGUGGCUCAAUCGUCAGGCGUUCA